rnacentral:rRNA from 1 species
UACGUAGGGUGCAAGCGUUGUCCGGAAUUAUUGGGCGUAAAGAGCUCGUAGGCGGUUUGUCGCGUCGAAUGUGAAAACCCGGGGCUCAACCCCGGGCCUGCAUUCGAUACGGGCAGACUAGAGUUCGGUAGGGGAGUCUGGAAUUCCUGGUGUAGCGGUGAAAUGCGUAGAUAUCUGGAGGAACACCGGUGGCGAAGGCGGCGUCCUGGACCAACACUGACACUGAGGAGCGAAAGCCAGGGGAGCAAACGGG